UCCCGUUUAGCUCAGUUGGUAGAGCGCGUCACUAGUACUUGCAUAGUGCAAUGACGAGGUCAGUCGUUCGAGUCGGCUAAUGGGAA